GUCUGAUUCAUAAUUGGAAAAUUCUGAUCGGAAGAUCUCAUAUUGACGUUGAUGUAAUAAUAUAGUCUAAAAUUAAUGAAUAAUGUUUGAAGUGCCAUUUAAAUUGAAAGGUGCUCUAAAAUAGAGAAAUGGAUGUACGUACCAUUGCCAUGGAGCUGCAAAAUAAAUUGUUGAAAUUCCAUAUCUAAAAGUGAUCCUAUACAAGUUAUUGCUUCUAAUGGGAAUUGCUUCCUACGAAGUGCCGAGUAAUCACCAGAAUAAUCUUCAAUCGUUCCUCUGUUGGACUUGAUUUCGUAUUCAAGAUUUGCAAACAGGAUUCUGCCGACCAUGCCGGUCCCAUCCUUGAGGAUCCAAGUGACUGCAGCGCUGAGAGGUGUCGCCGUGCUGCUGCCCACACCCACGCCUUUCAUUAUCGACUGCGUAGCCAGUGUGCCAGAUAGUG
rnacentral:lncRNA from 1 species